GGGGAUGAACAGGCUUCGACGGGAGUGAGUAGGUACAGGUGGCAGGCCCGAGUUGGCCGAAGGCUCGGAUUCCUGGGAACCAGUAUUGAGUGCUGGAACAGAGACGGAAAAGAUGAAAGUAUUUUUGAAGAAAAUACAAACAUGUUUUACGGCGAAUUCCGCAGGCAAUACUGGUUCCCAGGAUGAUAAAUCGGCCAAACAAUAAACGCUAACGAAAACUUAGCUUUAGCUGCUUAACGCGGCUACGUUUGCUCCCUGAUACCUAUUAGGGGAGGCCAAACGCCAAGAGUAGGUUAGUUGCCUGCGGCGCGUUUCGUCCGCAGACAAUGAAACAACAACGAAACUGGCUUCGGGAUGAUCCCGCCGCAGAGCAGUUCCGAAGCGAGAACUAAUUGCGGACAAGCCUGUAGGGACCUGGCUAAUACACUUUCGGACGCGGGUUCAAUUCCCGCCAUCUCCACCA
rnacentral:tmRNA from 7 species